UACGUAGGGUGCAAGCGUUGUCCGGAAUCAUUGGGCGUAAAGCGCGCGUAGGCGGCCCUGCAAGUCCGUUGUGAAAGUCAAAGGCUCAACCUUUGAAAGCCGAUGGAUACUGCAGGGCUAGAGUCCGGAAGAGGAGAGUGGAAUUCCUGGUGUAGCGGUGGAAUGCGCAGAUAUCAGGAGGAACACCAAUAGCGAAGGCAGCUCGCUGGGACGGUACUGACGCUAAGGCGCGAAAGCGUGGGGAGCGAACAGG
rnacentral:rRNA from 1 species